AAAUCUGACCAUUUUCCUCCAGAGACUGCAUCAACAAGCCACUGCUGGAGUGACGGACUUUCAUGGGAAAAUAUUGAACGCAGUUUUGGGCUGUGCCAUGGAUCAGUGUGAGGAGGCAGAGGCGGGAGCCUCCACCUCCGCUCAGUGUAAGGACCAUGAAGCUCACAGUGUUCACCAGAGUAACUGGUCCAUGAUUGAACCGUAUAACUUCAGAGAUAGACACCACUCUACUGAACAAAGGUACUCCAUUCACUUUAAAA